CUUUGUUACCCAGAAGUUUUUCUCAACUGUUUGACAUUCCCUGACACACUGCACAAUCUGGAGUUUUAUAGCAUCUCCGAGUUGGCCGAGGUGGUUCUGCAACUUCAGCAGUUCAAUAGUUGUGCAUCGAUGGGCUUGGACAAGGCAAGUGAGAGGGAGAGCUCCGGCGUUCAGACACAAGUGGGAUCCCUCUAGAACACAGGUCAAGCUUAAAGCUUUCGACAGUCUUGAAUGCGUCCUAAGAUAAUGGAGAACAUUUCAGUUGGUGGAGAAGCCGGAGGUGCUGGUGGAGCUUACUCUUGCAAAUUUGCAAUGCUUUCAAAAGAUUUUAACAACAUUUGGUCCAACAUAUGUACUCAACCAACAGGUACAUAUAUUGUUGCUUGAAGGCCUUCUUCUGUUUCCCCUGUCUUCUUCAUCAACGAGCUUCUCCACUUAAAUUUCAACUGCAUACGGGGAGGAGAAUAAUAAACAAAGAGUUUUUCCUAGAAGAUUAAUCAAGUUGUUGCCUAUUCUUGGCUUGGAACAUAAAUUAAUAUGUUCAUGAAUGGUCUCCAGAACCUGCUAAAUCCGCUGGCGGGAUCUUGCUGUGUUCUUUUCUUCUUUCUCACAUGGCUCCGGAGAACAG